rnacentral:rRNA from 1 species
GAUGAACGCUGGCGGCGUGCCUAAUACAUGCAAGUCGAGCGAACAGAUAAGGAGCUUGCUCCUUUGACGUUAGCGGCGGACGGGUGAGUAACACGUGGGUAACCUACCUAUAAGACUGGAAUAACUCCGGGAAACCGGGGCUAAUGCCGGAUCACAUUUAGUACCGCAUGGUUCUAAAGUGAAAGAUGGUUUUGCUAUCACUUAUAGAUGGACCCGCGCCGUAUUAGCUAGUUGGUAAGGUAACGGCUUACCAAGGCAACGAUACGUAGCCGACCUGAGAGGGUGAUCGGCCACACUGGAACUGAGACACGGUCCAGACUCCUACGGGAGGCAGCAGUAGGUAAUCUUCCGCAAUGGGCGAAAGCCUGACGGAGCAACACCGCGUGAGUGAUGAAGGUCUUCGGAUCUUAAAACUCUGUUAUUAGGGAAGAACAAAUGUGUAAGUAACUGUGCACGUCUUGACGGUACCUAAUCAGAAAGCCACGGCUAACUACGUG